AAGCCAAGACCACACUCACCUCUUGAGGAAGAUCUUUGACAAGACUGUGUCCUGUCACUGUGAUGAACAAAACUGGGAAGCAGCAGGAGCAGCAGUGAGACUGGGAUAGAUGAAUUAAAUGCCCUGGGGAGUAAGGCAUUAACCAAGCACCUGGAGUACCACCACAGGAGUCCUUGUGCUGUGCAGCACCUGCUGCAUGAAGCUGCAUCCUCUCAGAAUUAACGAAGUCCAAAUGAAUCUGCAUCUAGAGUUUAAUAUCUUAAAUCAUACUGAACUCUCUAAAACCACCUACAUUUGUCAAUACAUCAUAUUCUUGGAUGACACCAAUUGUCACAGCUGCACUGAGGCUCAGUAAGCCAGUUCAAUAUAGCAGCGACCAAAAAAAAUUCCAUCUUGGGAUCCAUUCCAAUGACAAAAAAUAAAGCAUUUCCUUAUGUUCCACUCUCUUCUCUCCACCCCCAUCCCCCGCUCUUUUUCUCCCUUGUGUUUGAAGGAAACAGCUUUGUAA